rnacentral:tRNA from 1 species
UUCCUGGUGGUCCAAUGGCUGGGACUCUGAGCUCCCAAUGCACGGGGCCCAGGUUCGAUCCCUGGUUGGGGAG